rnacentral:rRNA from 1 species
UUGGAGGUAGUGACAAUAAAUCACAAUGCGGGACUAUCAGUCUUGCAAUUGGAUUGAGAACAAUGUACAACUCUUAUCGAUAAGCCAUUGGAGGGCAAGUCUGGUGCCAGCAGCCGCGGUAAUUCCAGCUCCAAUAGCGUAUAUUAACGUUGUUGCAGUUAAAAAGCUCGUAGUUGAAGUGUGGGUGAUCGCUGUUGUGAGACUUCGGUCUCUCGACAGUAAGUCACCCCCUUCCAGUAUCCAGUAGUGGGUAUUCACUUACUUACUACUGUGUGUUGGUCCUUUACUGUGAGAAAAUUAGAGUGUUCAAAGCAGGCGUUUGCUUGAAUAGAUUAGCAUGGAAUAAUAAUUGAAGGCUUUCGUGUUCGAUUUGAUUGGUUUGUUCAUGGAAGCAAGGUUAAAAGGAACAGUUGGGGGUAUUCAUAUUCACUAGUUAGAGGUGAAAUUCUCGGAUUUAUGGAAGAUGAACAAGUGCGAAAGCAA